CCUACGGGAGGCAGCAGUGGGGAAUAUUGCGCAAUGGACGCAAGUCUGAAGCAGCCAUGCCGCGUGCGUGAAGACGGCUCUAUGAGCUGUAAACUGCGUUUGUAGGGGGGUAAACGCGGAUACGUGUCUCUGUCUGAAAGUAUCGUACGUAUAAGGAUCGGCUAACUCCGUGACAGCAGCCGCGGUAAUACAGAGGGUUCAAGCGUUAUCCGGAUUUAUUGGGUGUAAAGGGUGCGUAGGCGGUCGGAUAAGUUAGAGGUGAAAUCCCAGGGCUCAACUUUGGAGUUGCCUCUGAUACUGUUCGGCUAGAGAGUAGUUGCGGUAGGCGGAAUG
rnacentral:rRNA from 1 species